rnacentral:rRNA from 1 species
CCUACGGGAGGCAGCAGUGGGGAAUAUUGGGCAAUGGGCGCAAGCCUGACCCAGCAACGCCGCGUGAAGGAAGAAGGCCCUCGGGUUGUAAACUUCUUUUAUCAAGGACGAAACAAAUGACGGUACUUGAUGCAUAAGCCACGGCUAACUACGUGCCAGCAGCCGCGGUAAUACGUAGGUGGCAAGCGUUAUCCGGAUUUACUGGGUGUAAAGGGCGUGUAGGCGGGACUGCAAGUCAGAUGUGAAAACCGCAGGCUCAACCUGCGAACUGCAUUUGAAACUGUUUCCCUUGAGUAUCGGAGAGGUCAUCGGAAUUCCUAGUGUAGCGGUGAAAUGCGUAGAUAUUAGGAAGAACACCAGUGGCGAAGGCGGAUGACUGGACGACAACUGACGGUGAGGCGCGAAAGCGUGGGGAGCAAACAGGAUUAGAUACCCUUGUAGUC